rnacentral:rRNA from 1 species
CCUACGGGCGGCAGCAGUGAGGAAUAUUGGUCAAUGGCCGUAAGGCUGAACCAGCCAAGUCGCGUGAAGGAAGAAGGAUCUAUGGUUUGUAAACCUCUUUUGUAGGGGAAUAAAGGUAUCCACGUGUGGAUUUUUGCAUGUACCCUAUGAAUAAGCAUCGGCUAACUCCGUGCCAGCAGCCGCGGUAAUACGGAGGAUGCGAGCGUUAUCCGGAUUUAUUGGGUUUAAAGGGUGCGUAGGUGGGUGUUUAAGUCAGCGGUGAAAGUUUGUGGCUCAACCAUAAAAUUGCCGUUGAAACUGGAAGACUUGAGUGUGUUUGAGGUAGGCGGAAUGCGUGGUGUAGCGGUGAAAUGCAUAGAUAUCACGCAGAACUCCGAUUGCGAAGGCAGCUUACUAAGCCAUAACUGACACUGAAGCACGAAAGCGUGGGGAUCAAACAGGAUUAGAUACCCCUGUAGUC